GUGAGUCAUCGAAUCUUUGAACGCACAUUGCGCUCGAGGCUUCGGCCAAGAGCAUGUCUGCCUCAGCGUCGUUUUAUACCCUCGCUCCCCACCUUAAAUGGUGUCGGUCCAAUGCUUCGCGCUUGGGCCUUGGGAGCGGAUCUGGCUCUCCCAAUGCGGCUUUGCUGCUCGGAUUGGGUUAGCUGAAGCACAGAGGCUUGAGCAUGGACCCGAUAUGGGCAUCAACUGGAUAGGUAGCGCCAGCUUCGGCUGUCUACACGAAGUUGUUGUCUGUGGACCUUGCUGGAGGCCAGUCGAACG
rnacentral:misc_RNA from 1 species